GAUGAAGAACGUAGCGAAAUGCGAUAAGUAAUGUGAAUUGCAGAAUUCAGUGAAUCAUCGAAUCUUUGAACGCACCUUGCGCCCUUUGGCCAUUCCGAAGGGCAUGCCUGUUUGAGUAUCAUGAACACCUCAACUCUCAUGGUUUGCCAUGAUGAGCUUGGACUUUGGGGGUCUUGCCGGCCUAUGGGUCGGCUCCUCUCAAAUUAAUCAGCUUGCCAGUGUUUGGUGGCAUCACAGGUGUGAUAACUAUCUACGCUUGUGGUUUUCCAUCAGGUAACCUUCAGUGAUGGAGGUUCGCUGGGGCUCAUAAAUGUCUCUCCUCAGUGAGGACAGCUUUUUUGAACGUUUGAUCUCAAAUCAGGUAGGACUACCCGCUGAACUUAAGCAUAUCAAUAAGCGGAGGA
rnacentral:misc_RNA from 1 species